CAAUCCUCAGAGGUAGACCGCGAGUAAGAAGACCCCGUAAUCCAAGCUUCUUCACGGCCUGCAAAGUUUCAAAAACAAAAAGGAUUCAGGUCAAACUUAAUGAACUUAAAAAUAGAAACAAUAUAUGAGUAAAUGAUGCGGCUUACAUCUCCGACGGUGGCCCCCUUUGAAUUGUUGAGAAAUGAGACAAGGUUGUCAGCUGGGUGAGAAAUGACGGCGCAAAGGACUCCAGCGAUGUAGCCGCCUCCAAAGCUCACAGCAAGCUGGAAAGAUUGAACGAUCUUCGGGAGCCCAUCCAUCAACCCUCUGGCAAAGCCUGGCUGUGUUUGGAUCCUCACCUUCACGGC